rnacentral:lncRNA from 1 species
GAGCAAGACUCUGUCUCAAAAAAACAACAACAAGGCCAAAUGUCACCCCAUGAUCUUAACAAGGGAACAGUCAGAAUCCAAAUCCUAAGCACACAAAGCUACUUUCUUAAGGGCAAUGGGAGAGGGAAAUUGUGAUGGCCCCAAGCUAGAACCUAAAUUACACCUUUACUUUAGAACUGAGUAUAGAAGGAUACAUAUCCUAGGGCACAGAUGGGACACCUCUGUCGAUGCUAGAAGAAUUCUAUGUGUGUUUGGAGGUGGCAUAGCAUACCUGUUAGAAAGGCUUUGCUAUUUACUACUGUGGGACCACAAGCAAGUUAUCUCUUUUCUGAACCUCAGUUUCCUCAACUAUAAAAAAGAGAUACGGAUGCUUAGCUAAUAUUGCUGGAAUUGAAUGCAGAAAUGAAAGAAAGCUUUUAGCACAGGGCUUUACCCUAACAGGCACUUACUGUUAAGAGUGGUUUAUUACCAGGUAGGUAACUAAGCAAGGAAGAUGUGUGUUAAUCAAUUUGGCAUGAGAUUUAAAAUUUUAUUACCCAACACAUUAUUUUCACUAAAGUAUCCUUGGUUAAAACUCAGUUAAUACUAGCAUUUAAUAAGAUAACUCAAAUUUCUCCAAAAAAAUGGACAAAUUGGAUGUCUUCAAUUCACUUGACUUACAAAAUGGUUUUAAUAUGAGAAUUGUCUAGUCAUAAGUUGUCACUCAAGAACAAAAAUUAUCUGUUCUGGCACUAACUGGCAUGUGAUUCUGGUGAGGCACAUCAUGACUCUGGGUCUCCUCUACAAGGAGGGGGUUGUGGGAGUGCCCUGGUUCCUUCCAUCUUGAACAUUCGUGAUUCCAAAGUAGCACUCCAGCAUAGCCCUGAUUUACUUCUAGUUCCUUUCCUUUUCAGGACAUUGACAUAAAGUAGAACUUGCUUCCAAUACGUCUUAAAGGUUAAAUGUUACACACAGCGUACAGUCAAUGCAAGGAGGCCUGCACACAGGGAACUUCUGUCUAGGACUGCGGCCGGUAAGACCUUCCUGUGUGGACCACAGCACUGCUCAGGAAAGCUGCCUGCAGGAGCUGUGAAGUUGCAGAAUUUUGGUUUAUUGGGAUGCAUCCUGGUGCUUGCCUACAGAUCUUGUUUUGCAAAGUGCAGAGGCAAUACAUGGAGAUGCAGCAGCCAUCUUGUGACCAUGAGGACAAAGAUCAUUUACCAAGGAUGACAGAAGAGAAAGUUAGCAAGAGCCUUGACCCCUGAUGAGGUGAAGUCAUUUCACCAGCCUAUCACAGCUUCUAGUCUUCUUGGGAAUGUGUCAUCUUGGCUUUCUUUAUGAAUGGCAAUUACUGGCUGGGUGCGGUGGCUGAGAUGGGUGGAUCACUUGAGGUCAGGAGUUCGAGACCAGCCUGGC